ensembl:lncRNA
AAAGCCCAAUAUGGGUGGGUUUACCAUCAGCCGCCUGAAACCAUGCUGUUUCAAAGUCAUGCACUAAACCGAAAAACGUACAUGCGUUAGCUGGCUUCUAUACCACAAAGGUAAAAUAAAAUAAAAUAAAAUAAAACGCAACAUGCCCCGUUCCAAGACCACCUCUGCUGCCAGAGCUGACAUAUCUGACUCCUGUUCCUCCUCCACCCUACACCCCACCCGGCACUUCCCAUGAUUGUUGCAGCUCGUCACUUUAUGAUCAAGUGAGCCAGUGCCCACAGCGACUCUGCCAAGUAAUCGUGACUGUGCCUGCCUUAGGUCGUCCCGGGUGUCAAGGUGGGAUCUUACCCGUCGUUGGCUAACCAGCCUUCCAUACUGGCUCGCUGCAGGAUGCCGUACCUGGGAUACGAUCAAUCCCCACCUAUAUGGUGGUGUAGAUCGCAAGGUGGAGGGAUGGAGACAGAGUCUUCUGCCGCUUCUGCCCUAUGCAGCGUGUGUGUGCGUAAAAGAUACACCUCAGGGAAACUAUAAAACAAAAAGUCAUUUAUCAGAGUUAAAAUUAUUAAAGUGUUGCAGCAGCAGUAGUGGCAUUUGAAAGGUAAACCCACUAUUUCCGAAUCCAAAUUGACAACAUAGCAUGUAGGAUCCCUUCCCAGCAGAUGUAGCGCUAAUCCCCGUCAUCCUUGACCAAAGAGAUUUACCCUAUAUUUUAAUUGGUGUAGUCCUACUUGUACAGUUUAUCAAGAUUACGUUUUUACUUUAUGUAUAUAUUUUUAAUUAUUAUCCUCAUCUUUAUCAUCCCAUAUUUAUUCAAUUAUUCUUUCCUGUGUGAAAAUAAUAAUAAUCACUUAGUUAAUAGCAACACCUUCUUUAGUCCAAUUGCAUUAGAUUAUCAUUACUGUUGUCCUAGGAAGACAAAAAACAAAAUAAAAACUAAACUUAAAGAAAAACAAAUUAGCCACAAUGUGAAUAUCCACUGCGUGUCUUCCUGUGACUCUCUCCCUCCUUCAGGAGAACACGCUCUCUCUCCCUCCUCACCUCGGGGUGCUGUUUGGUGCAAGACAACAGAUAAGGGUGGAAUGUGGCUUCUCUCUCUCUGCGUGUCUCCCUCCCACUUUGGGUGCGGCCAUAACGCCUUGAAGAGAGCGUGCUCCGGGGGCUGGGUGUGGGAGAACCCAGUGGCAGUUCCUUUUCUCGGCCAGCAGAGGGGUUGUUCAGGUGAAACCUAUGGACAGAGACUACAAAGAACUUCAAACAUGGCAGACGGGGAACUACAAAUUUAUCAAAGCCUGAAAACUCAACAGAGCUCUACCUGUAUUCCUUGGAUAUGUGGUAUUUUAUGGCGUAUGGCCACCACACGCUUUCAGUUGAACACACUCUCUACGGGGAACUACAAAUUUAUCAAAGCCUGAAAACUCAACAGAGCUCUACCUGUAUUCCUUGGAUAUGUGGUAUUUUAUGGCGUAUGGCCACCACACGCUUUCAGUUGAACACACUCUCUAUUUCCUUUCUCUGUACUGUGUGUUAGUGUGUCUCUCUGUACUGCCUUAAUGGUGUAGGUCGACAAAUGGGGGUGGUCGGGGUUGUGGACGCCCGUGCACUGAAGGCCGGGUGCGGGGAGGUUUGUCUUUUUAGCUUUAUUAGUAACUGGGAUAAUUCUUCUAGCAGGGGGUGAUCAAGAGUCGGGGUUGGAUUGGUAUUGAUGCUGUCCAGUAGGGGGCGGUGUAGUUGGGGAAGGGUAAGGUUGGAGUUGUCCAGCAGGGGGCGGUGUAGUUGGGGAAGGGUAGAGUUGGAGUGGUCCAGCAGGGGGCAGUCUAGUUGGGGAAGGGUAAGGUUGGAGUGGUCCAGCAGGGGGCGCUGUAGUUGGGGAAGGGUAAGGUUGGAGUGGUCCAGCAGGGGGCAGUCUAGUUGGGGAAGGGUAGAGUUGGAGUGGACCAACUUUGGCGGAGGGGGAGGUGUGGCUUGGGACUGAGUGAGAGAACUCAAAAAAUGGCGGCCGUGAUGCUAUAACUCUGUGUGGCCUGUCUAACACACGAGAGCGGAUGAGAGACUAGGGGGUAACUCUUGUCACUCUUGGAGGAGGAGAACGAGAAAAAGGAGGAAAAAACAGGGGGGAGGGAAGCAAAAAACAACAACAGGGCCUAAAGACGUUAUUCAAUACAUCCAGAUAUUCUUCAUCGCCAAUAAUCGUUAUCUAUCUUUAUUGAUUAAUCUGGUUCAACAGACUAAACCGUCAACCAACACGGCAAAGAGAUGUUGUUUAGUAUCAUAGUUUAUCAAUGCGACAGGUCCGGCAGUAAUUCAAAGAAACACAGAGAAAAAAGAGAUAUCAUUUAUCCUUGUCAACUUGUCUAGGUCUAGUUUCAAUGGUUCAAACAGUAAAUUGAAGCGACACAGUAAAAAAAGGUUAUUUAUCAUUGUCAAUUUAUCUAUUUCCGCAGGUUACGCCAUAGAGCAACGCAAUACGUCAGAGAGACAUUUAUUCAUUAUUAUCAAUCUAUCUAUUCCUACAUUUACCCGUUUUAACGGACAAAGAUAGAGCGGAUCACGCAUACACACCCACUGAUUCACUCACAGAUUCCCUCUUUCUCGCAGACGCACACAGAAACAUAUCGACAGACUUCUCAUUCUGUGUCCCGCACCCACAAUCAUUAGACACGGCAAAAUAGCGUUAAGCAUAGCAAAGCAGGCAAGCGUUGCACACAUAGCCGGGUUAUCACUGAUUGAUUUAUUUCCAUAUUUCAGCCAGCCCAAAAUUACGCUCGCUCUCUUUCUUUCUCUCACACACACUGUCUCUCGUUCACUCGCGCAUACACACGCUGUCUCUCUUUCACUCGCGCAUACACACGCUGUCUCUCUUUCACUCGCACAUAUUUCAGCCGGCCCAAAAAUACGCUCGCUCUCUUUCUUUCUCUCACACACACACACACUGUCUCUCGUUCACUCGCGCAUACACACGCUGUCUCUCUUCCACUCGCGCAUACACACGCCGUCUCUUUUUGCAAAGGGACUUUAACCCUGAUAAAGGACUCCAACCUUCUCACCACAUAGAAUUAUUUAAUACACAUCCAAUACUCGGCCAUCGGUAGUCUUGUAUCACUAUGACCGAUUCUUAUAGGCCCUAGGGUCUCGAGGGUAUUUUUCCACCAUGCAACGAGCCUAGUUUUUUCCUCUGGUUCCACCCUCGGUCCAGGCAUCCCUCUGGGUCCACUCUAUGGCCCAGGUAUUUAUUAUUCCCUCUGGUUCCCCCCUCGGGCCAGGCAUCCCUCUGGGUCCACUCUAUGGCCCAGGUAUUUAUUAUUCCCUCUGGUUCCACCCUCGGUCCAGGCAUCCUUCUGAGUCCACUCUGUGGCUCAGGCAUUUAUUAUUCCCUCUGGUUCCCCCCUCGGGCCAGGCAUCCCUCUGGGUCCACUCUAUGGCCCAGGUAUUUAUUAUUCCCUCUGGUUCCACCCUCGGUCCAGGCAUCCUUCUGAGUCCACUCUGUGGCUCAGGCAUUUAUUAUUCCCUCUGGUUCCCCCCUCGGGCCAGGCAUCCCUCUGGGUCCACUCUAUGGCCCAGGUAUUUAUUAUUCCCUCUGGUUCCACCCUCGGUCCAGGCAUCCUUCUGAGUCCACUCUGUGGCCCAGGCAUUUAUUACUUUGGCCAUCGGUAGUCUUGUAUCACUAUGACCGAUUCUUAUAGGCCCUAUGGUCUCGAGGGUAUUCUUUCACCAUGCAACGAGCCGAUAUUCGAUGUGUCACGCAUUCAGGGUUUUAUGGGGAAAUGCUGGGGUGCAGUCCUAUUAGUCCCCACGAGAUAUCCCGUAGCGAACCGUUCUCACAGUCUCACCUCCUAAUGUGGUUCCUAUAUAACUAUGCAGAGUUUGGAUUUUAUCAACAGGUUCUGCCUACCUUUUGUUGGGCGGCCGCGAGGUGAGACUGCAGGAAUCGGUCCGGUGCUCCGGGGUCCCGAGGCCGUGCCGCUCUCCGUCUCUCGUUUCCCAGUUGCGGUCCAAUUCAGAAAAAAUCACGUUGUGGGUCACCAAAUUGAAGGGAAAAACGGUCUGUCUAGUUACUGGACCAGAUGAAAUGAGACGGAGAGGUAAUAAAGUCUGUCGGCACGAGGACCUUGGAUUUAUUAAGUAAAGUGGCAACGGUUAUACAGAGUCAUAAGCGUGAGAAAUCGAAUAUGUCUAAGUCCCUAAUCAGCGCUGAUGGUUCGUCCGGAGCUUCGCCUCCGUGGAAGGUCUGCUUCAGAAGAAGGUGAAGAGUCUCAGAGUGAUACAGUCUUAUGCUGUAUCUCCUUGUGAUGAGGUGUGUGCGUUUGAGAUGUGUGUGGUUCUGUGUGUUUUUACUUGACCUUGGCUCCCAGGCACUAGUGUAUGCAUGCAUAUCUUCUUGUGUUCCUCCUCACGGGGGAGAGCUUCAGAGCAUCUCCUGUUGUGGUCCUCCCGUUCUUGAGGAUGACUGGUGCAUUGUCUGAGUGUCUACCAUCUGCCAGCCUGGGAAAUGGGGCCUUCGGCUCCGGCCUUGACCUGACUAUAUUCUCAUGUAUGUGUUAUGUGUUAAAAGUUGACUAUAUUGUAAGGUGACUGCCAUGUGAUGUGCUCAUUAAGCUAGGGUAGGAGUUAGCUAUAUUUAUAAUGUACAUGUAAUGUACUCAGCAGGUUAUUUUGCCCAACACUUUCAGUAAUCG